UACGUAGGGAGCAAGCGUUGUCCGGAAUCAUUGGGCGUAAAGGGCGCGUAGGCGGCCUUCUAAGUCGAACGUGAAAUCCCCGGGCUCAACCCGGGAACUGCGUCCGAUACUGGAAGGCUUGAAUCCGGGAGAGGGAUGUGGAAUUCCAGGUGUAGCGGUGAAAUGCGUAGAUAUCUGGAGGAACACCGGUGGCGAAGGCGACAUCCUGGACCGGUAUUGACGCUGAGGCGCGAAAGCCAGGGGAGCAAACGGG
rnacentral:rRNA from 1 species